rnacentral:rRNA from 1 species
UACGUAGGGGGCAAGCGUUGUCCGGAUUUAUUGGGCGUAAAGAGCGUGUAGGCGGCCAGGUAGGUCCGCUGUGAAAACUGGAGGCUCAACCUCCAGACGUCGACCGAAAACCCUCUGGCUAGAGUCCGGAAGAGGAGAAUGGAAUUCCUGGUGUAGCGGUGAAAUGACGCAGAUAUCAGGAAGAACACCGUGGCGAAGGCGGUUCUCUGGACGGUACUGACGCUGAGACGCGAAGCGUGGAGCAACAGGAUAGAUACCUGU